UACGUAGGGACCAAGCGUUGUUCGGAUUUACUGGGCGUAAAGGGCGCGUAGGCGGCGUGACAAGUCACUUGUGAAAUCUCCGGGCUUAACUCGGAACGGCCAAGUGAAACUGUCAUGCUAGAGUGCAGAAGGGGCAAUCGGAAUUCCAGGUGUAGCGGUGAAAUGCGUAGAUAUCUGGAGGAACACCGGUGGCGAAGGCGGCAUCCUGGACCGAUACUGACGCUGAGGCGGCGAAAAGCGUGGGGAGCAAACAGG
rnacentral:rRNA from 1 species